AAAAAUCUCGGCGACGGCGAUUCUCUUCGUCUGUCUUCCGGCGUCUCCCGUUCGUCAGAGUCGCUGAGAUCCUCCUGCACUUGUCGUUCAGGUUCGUUUCGAUUCUCUUUUGCCAAUCCAACUCAGAACUGUGUGUUUUGUUUCAUUGAUGUUAACUCUUGUGAUUGCAUUCUCUGGAUGGUUACUUGUAUACACAUGUGAUGCGUAUGUGUGUUUGGUGGAGAAUAAGUGAGAAACACAUUACUAAUAUUUGUCUUUCAUCUCUAAUACUUGCUUUCAUGCUAGGUGCUGUAUUGGGAGAUGAAGAACCGGAGAUCGGUUGAGAGAUAGAUUCUUGCAUGAUCAAGUUUUUUAUUUCUAUGUCGUUUACCUUAAUCAGGUAUAUAUAGAGGGUGACAUGACAACCUUAAAGCCAGCUUGUGAACUUGUAAGCCAUAUCUAUAACAAGCAUGUGUAACAUUUGAAUAAUAGAAGCAACAGGUAACACCGUAACAAACAAAGGCGAGAAGAAGACGAAAAAAUAGAUGUAGAGCAAAUCAAUCCCUUUUACUAAUCUAUCACAGUCACCGCAGCGUCACCGUUUUGGGUCUUGUAAGCAGUCAACAGGUGAAAGAGACCAGAGAGGUGUGUCUUGUUAACAAAAAAGCAUUUGUGAAGUUUGUAUUGUUUAUGUCUUGAAUCCCAAAUGACCCAUUUUGUGGACCUUCUUUGUGGGUCGCACGUGGGUGUCCCAGUUUCAUCUUCACUGUUUCAGUGUUUUGGACCCAUCUCCUGACUCAUGGCUCCAUGUUAUUAUUUUAUUUUUCCUAAAUGUCAUUAUGAUUCAGGACCCAAGAUAAAUUUUUUAAUUAAAAACAAAAGUUCAAAGUGAAAUAUAAAGAAGAGAAAGGAAAGCAAAA
rnacentral:lncRNA from 1 species